rnacentral:rRNA from 1 species
UACGGGGGGGGCAAGCGUUGUUCGGAAUUACUGGGCGUAAAGGGCGCGUAGGCGGCCUGCUAAGUCACACGUGAAAUCCCUCGGCUCAACCGGGGAACUGCGUGUGAUACUGGCGGGCUUGAGUUCGGGAGAGGGAUGUGGAAUUCCAGGUGUAGCGGUGAAAUGCGUAGAUAUCUGGAGGAACACCGGUGGCGAAGGCGGCAUCCUGGACCGAGAUUGACGCUGAGGCGCGAAAGCUAGGGGAGCAAACGGG